rnacentral:rRNA from 1 species
UGAGGAAUAUUGGUCAAUGGGCGAGAGCCUGAACCAGCCAAGUAGCGUGCAGGAUGACGGCCCUAUGGGUUGUAAACUGCUUUUAUAUGGGAAUAAAGUGAGGGACGUGUCCCUUAUUGCAUGUACCAUACGAAUAAGGACCGGCUAAUUCCGUGCCAGCAGCCGCGGUAAUACGGAAGGUCCAGGCGUUAUCCGGAUUUAUUGGGUUUAAAGGGAGCGUAGGCUGUUUGUUAAGCGUGUUGUGAAAUGUAGGAGCUCAACUUUUGGAGUGCAGCGCGAACUGGCAGACUUGAGUGCGCACAACGUAGGCGGAAUUCAUGGUGUAGCGGUGAAAUGCUUAGAUAUCAUGACGAACACCGAGUGCGAAGGCAGCUUACGGGAGCGCAACUGACGCUAAAGCUCGAAGGUGCGGGUAUCGAACAGG